rnacentral:rRNA from 1 species
AAGGGCGACGACAGAUGUAUCGGUGAAUGAGGCUUCGGGCCUGGGGAUGUGGUUUUGGGAAUGGACUCUAUGGCAAGGCAGUGGUAGGCUGACCGAUAGGAUGGGUGGAUAGGGAAAAUGGAUCUGGAGGGGAGUUUGGGGUUUUUAUAUUGAAGGUGUAGUCAUAUGCUUGUCUCAAAGAUUGGGCCAUGCAUGUCUAAGUAUAAAAAAACAUACUGUGAAACUGCGAAUGGCUCAUUAAAUCAGUUAUCGUUUAGUUGAUAGUACCGUUGCCUGGAUAACCGUGGUAAUUCUAGAGCUAAUACAUGCUAAAAAUCCCGACUUCGGAAGGGAUGUAUUUAUUAGAUAAAAAACCAAUGCCCUUCGGGGCUCCUUGGUGAUUCAUAAUAACUCAACGAAUCGCAUGGCCUUGCGCCGGCGAUGGUUCAUUCAAAUUUCUGCCCUAUCAACUUUCGAUGGUAGGAUAGUGGCCUACCAUGGUCUCAACGGGUAACGGGGAAUUAGGGUUCUAUUCCGGAGAGGGAGCCUGAGAAACGGCUACCACAUCCAAGGAAGGCAGCAGGCGCGCAAAUUACCCAAUCCCAAUUCGGGGAGGUAGUGACAAUAAAUACUGAUACAGGGCUCUUUUGGGUCUUGUAAUUGGAAUGAGUACAAUCUAAAUCCCUUAACGAGGAACAAUUGGAGGGCAAGUCUGGUGCCAGCAGCCGCGGUAAUUCCAGCUCCAAUAGCGUAUAUUAAAGUUGUUGCCGUUAAAAAGCUCGUAGUUGAACCUUGGGCCUGGCUGAUCUGUCCUCCUAAUCGAGCGCACGGAUUCGGUCGGGCCUUUCCUUCUGGGGAGCCCGAUGCCCUUCACUGGGCGUCGUGGGGAACCAGGACUUUUACCUUGAAAAAAUUAGAGUGUUCAAAGCAGGCCUUUGCUCGAAUACAUUAGCAUGGAAUAAUAGAAUAGGACAGAGGUUCUAUUUUGUUGGUUUCUAGGACCGCUGUAAUGAUUAAUAGGGAUAGUCGGGGGCGUCCGUAUUCAAUUGUCAGAGUGAAAUUCUUGAUUUAUUGAAGACGACUACUGCGAAAGCAUUCGCAAGGAUGUUUUCAUUAGUCAGUGAACGAAGGUUAGGGGAUCGAAGACGAUCAGAUACGUCGUAGUCUAACCAUAAACUAUACUGACUAGGGAUCGACGUGACAGUCACAUGCCCCGCUCUACACCUUAUGAAAAACUAAAUUUGUAGUACUACCGGCGAGUAUGGUUGCGAGACUGACACUUCGCGAAAUAAACGGAAGGGCACCACGAUGAGUUGAUCGUGCGGCUAGAUGUGACUCAGCACGCGGAAGCUCACCAGGUCCAGACAUGAUUAGGAGUACAGAUUGAUAGCUGGUUCUUGAUUGUAAAAAAAGUGAAUCAUGACCGUUUUUACUUAGUGGAGUGACUCGUCUGCUGAAUGACGAGCACGAGCGUGGCGUUCACCAUCCAAAUAACCCAAAUCGUUUUAGUGCGGUACUGGCUUUCAGGAAAGACUUUCAGCUCAAGCCAACUUAAGUCCGAGGCAGAAGCAGGUCUGUGAGGCCCGUAGAUGUUUUGGGCCGCUCGCGCGUUACAGUGGCAGGGCCAUCGAGUACAUCACCUUGGCCGAAAGGUCAUGGUAAGGGGCAUAAACCCUGUAGCUUCAUUAUAGAGCAUUGCAAUUAGUGCUGUUGAAGGAGGAAUGCCUAGUAAGGGCAAGUGAUCAGAAUGCGUGGAGUAGGUCCGUGCCCGUUGUACACGCCGACGGUGGCUAGUGCCGACGAAUGGCUCAGGAGGCCGUGGGAUUCCCAGGGGAGAUGGGCGACCAUCACCCCAGGCCGAAAACUGGUCAAACCUGGUCAUUUAGAGGAAGUAAAAGUCGUAACAAGGUUUCCGUAGGUGAACCUGC